UUUUGUAGACUUAUUAGCGACAUCUGAUACAAAAGCUGUAUAUUUGUUUUUGUUUGUGACACGCCCACAACACAAAAAAUGGCGAUGCUUGAUAUACGCUUGAAAAGAGUUAGUAAAAUCUACAAAGAAGGGGAUGUAGUAUCCGGACUGGUGGUGGUGCAAAGUAAAGGAGAAGUUCAGCAUCAGGGUAUCAGCUUAGUUGUUGAGGGAAUAGUAAAUCUACAGCUGAGCGCAAAGAGUGUUGGUGUUUUUGAAGCUUUCUACAAUUCCAUCAAGCCAAUUCAGGUACUGCAUUACCCCUUAGAAAUUGCCAAGCCAGGACGCCUUCCCUCAGGCAAAACAGAGAUUCCUUUUGAAAUUCCUCUCAAACCAAAGCCAGGAAAGACAUUAUAUGAAACCUACCAUGGUGUCUUUGUUAAUAUACAGUACCUUAUAAGAGUAGAUAUGAAACGAUCACUUUUGAACAAAGACCUGCAGAAACAGUGUGAGUUCAUCAUUGAAUAUAAGGACCAAGAAGAAAGAGCCAAAGCAAAACCAGUUAGCUUCACCAUAUCUCCUGAGACUCUUGUAAAUGUCAAGGAGAAACAGAAUAUCCCCAGGUUUAAAGUCAAGGGAAAGUUGGAAUCAUCAUGCAUACAGAUCACUAAACCUUUAAAAGGGGAGCUUACAGUUGAGCAAUGUGAUGCACCUAUCAAGUCGAUAGAGAUUCAGCUUGUGAGAGUUGAGACUUGUGGCUGUGCUGAGGGCUACGCAAAAGAUGAGACCCUAAAGCCUAAAGGAAAGGACAGCCUACUCUAUGUCCACACAUCUCGCGUCUGCUGUGUAUAAGCUUCACUUAUUGACAGGCAGCUUAGGAUUGCUUUGUUUUGUAUCUGCAAGCAUCUUGGAAUCCUUUAUUAUUGAAGAAAUCCUCUUAGUAAGUAUGUUUUGAUAUAUAUAUUUUAUAAUAUAUGAAUUAUACUGUAAAAUAUCUACACUCAAACAGCAUUUUAUUGUUGUAUUUUUAUUUAUUUUAGAGUCAAGAAGAUGGUUUUGUCAGCAAGUCCUCUCUCUCCAGGUCAUUGUUUUUCUUAGUGGUUACAGAGGGUAGUUUGUAGUGAGUUUAUCGUUUCUUAAUUCAGGAUUAAUUCAGACUAAGGCUGUAAGGAGCGGUCUUAGGCAUUUAUUCUGUAAUACAUUUAAGUCUUUUUUUUAACAAUGUUGUUUUGAACACAUUCACAUCUUGCACUGUGUUAUUAGGACAAUGGUGUACUUGAAAUUGGUGGCAAAGAAAAAUUGGAUGUUCCUUCAUCUAUCCCUGAUAUUGAUGUGUAUAAUUCCUGAGAAAAUUUAUGUGCUUUGUAAUUAUUAUUUGCCACUGAAUUCAUUGCAAUUGUUAACUUGAUAUGCACAAGAUGGCAAAUCGUUUAGCGACCUUUCAGACCUGGAUAAAAAUAGAGCUUAGAGUGAGAAAGUAGCUAUUUUCUUCCAUUAUCUUUUUUGCUUUUUUGCUUAAACUUUUAGACAAACUUUGUUUAAUCACAAUUGGUCUGAUCAGGUCUGCCUGGAGAUCUUGGAAGAGUCUUGUAGUCCUUUGCUGUCAGAUGACUACAUUUUAGACAACGUAAAGGAGAUAAUCACUAAUAUUGAUGAGACUUCGUUGAUCAGCCAUUCAUUUAGCUGGAAGCACAUCACACCACAGCAUUGUACUGAGACGAAUUUCAUCAAUUGUGAAUCCCAGCUUUAAAAAAUGUUGAAUGUGCUUUUUAAAUCCACAUUAUUUUUGAUUUAUCGUCAUGAAAUAACCUGCCCCUGUUUUUCCUAUAGAUGUCACUUCUUCGGUAGUCAUUUAACUGUGUCUGCAAUAUUACGGCGCCCAGGAAUAGCGACUUUCUUCCAAAACCGAGACUGGGAUGAGUGAUCAAAGUGACAAAUGGCUGUUUACUACUUCGACAGUCCUUAGUUUACCAUAGUCGGCAGCACACAUGCAGCGAGCAUAUUAUACUGGGACAAACUCCUAAGAUGUCUCAUGGGCAGUAAAAUUAACUUUAAGAUAUAUAUACAUGUAUUUUGUUGCUAUAUUGAAAGUAUGUGGCAUGAAAUGCUCAUAAAUGAUAAAUGUAGUUUAAAAGAUAACUGUCAUCGGGUUCUUAUGCAAUUAUAUUGUUAGUGUGACAUCCAGGCAUCCGAUGGGUAUCAUGUGAGGACAAAAAAGUUUAAUUACUCAGUACUGCUAUCAAAGAAAACCCACUGCACUUGUUCAUUAAUACUGUUUAUUCAUAGUUUCAAAAUGAAAUACUUAGAAGCAGCCUAUUUCAUUGGAAGGACAUUUAAUGAAGAAUUUUUUUUUCUGUCCCAACGACAACCAUCAGGUACCAAAAUUUAUAUUUUUCUCUCAAGUCCUCCACUCUGCUGCCAACACCAUAAAGACAACAGACUCCAGCACAGUAUAGCACUACUUAUGUUGUGUGCUUUUCACAUAAUUAACACUGUUGUGUUAUAUUACAAAAAGAAAAAAAAUUGUUCUGUCCCAUGACUCCCUUUGGGCUUAAUUAUCUGAAAAGUUUACACAACUAAAAUACUCUACUGUGUGUGUUAAUGUAUGGAUGGGGUUGUCACAAUCCUAUGGGAUCUAGGUACAUGUGAUAAAUGGAGACUUGUAGUUAAGCCUUAACGUCUCCGCCAUCCACUCCGACAUAAUCUUGUAUAUAUAAUGGGACACCCUAGACAACUAGGGAUAAGGAAUUUGUUCAUUCAUAGGUUCAUUUUUUCCUUUCAUUUAUAUUCUACAUAAGCUCUUGGCAUUUUUACUAUUCUUAAUAAUUACUUUGUUUACACUAAACUGUAUUGUGUUGUUAUUGUGGAAUGUGCUGGGGGAUUGAGUCAUUAAUUAAUGUCAAUUAGCAAUUAGUGGAAGUGUAUCGCGUAUACUAUGUGAUUAAUAGUUUGAUUAUUUUUACAACUAUGAAUCUUUUGAUCUGGCACAGCAAUGAUUACAACCACUGGAAAGUCAAAUUAUUCUAAAAUGUAAUUUCUCUCACCUGGUUAUAUCUUCAGCGUAUCACUCUGGUUUGAAAUGUUUGGGGCAAAUUGUCACUCUUUCAAGAUAGAAUCACAAUGAUUCAAAGCUCUCACAAGAUUUUGUUUUCCCCGUCCUGAUUAUCUAGUUUUUGUAUGCGGAAAAAUAAUAAACCGUUUUGUCGACUUUUCCAUGUAGGGCAUCCUGGAAUCGCACAGCUAGUGGCUGACAUCUAAAAAAAAAAUAACAACAUUAGCUCUGCAACGCACUGUGUAAAGCGAAACUGGAAAAGCCAAAGCAAUAACUUAGUCCAGCACAUGCACGAUUUUGGGUAUAGUUUACGCCACAUGGUGUAGUUUUUACAAAGGCAUUAGAAAACAUAGCUGAAAAGCUAAAGCCCCUGUGGUACAUUGGUAAUACUUCACCCAACCUGUUUUUCAAACUUUUUGAUGCCCAAACUCAACCAAUGCUUUGAUAUGGCUUUGAAAUAUGAUGGGGUCUUUGUGCAAUAAUGAUACUAAUGAGAAGGUUCACACCUUUCCAAUGAAACGAUUUAUUUAGGAGUCACAACAAGAACACCUAUCUUGCAGGAAUGUGGUUGAUUCUCUUUGUCAGUUAUUGCAUCAGUGCCGUGUAUUGGAGAUUGAGUCCAUCUGCUAGAAAUGCCACAAGGUAGACUCCAGAGGAAAAACUAUUUAAUGCUAUCACUUCUACACAAAACAAGAAAACAUGAUUACAUGAUAUUGUUUUAUAAAUGUCGUUUUGGUGUGGUAAAAGAAUAUCAAGGUGCUGGAGAUACACUUUUUUUAAUACACCCUUAAACAGAGACUGGUAGACUGUCACCACCACCAGUGCCAUGCUGUUCAAAGCAGUUCACGAUGAUGCAUUCCAUACAUAUUUGAAGCAACUGUGUCUUUGUGUCUGAAAGACAGAGGUAUUAAAGAUACUUAGAUAAAAUUUAUAAUGGGUAUAACUUUACUUAAAUGCCAUCAGCAGCAUUACUUCUUAACUCAGAAUAUUUGAACUUCACCUAUUGUCCUGAUACAACUAAAACUGAGCAGCAGCUUUUGCUGAAAAUGCUUUAAGUGCCCCUCCCUUUUUUUAUUUCACUCUUGAUGUCAGAUAUCAGAAUGCUAAUUACAUUACUGAUUGCCCCUUUUCUAUUUACAAUGCAUUGGAAAUAAAAAGUUAUGUUGUCGGUUUGUGUCCUUCACACUUAAGAUUGUUCAUAUAGAAAUGCUAAUGUGUUGAUUACAUGAUGCACUAUGAUAAAUAUUAGUGUUUUUACCUUAGUGCUUACAUGACUGUAUAGUGUUGAAUGGCUUAAUGCAUAUUCUUAUGCAUAUGCUUGUGUCUGUACAUGUUUGGGCUUACAUAUAUAAUUACAUUGACUAUUAACUUGACAUAUAUCUAUGUAUAUGUGCAUAUGCAUGAUUGUAAUGGUUUGAUGGAUGUCUAUAUUUAUGCUACUAGAUUUCAGAUUUGAAUAUAGAAUAAACAUGUAUGAAAAACUAUAUAAGUUUGUUGGUUUUUUAAAAUUAAAUUUCUGUAAACUUUGCUGGUAAAGAUAUUUUCACCUUGACAGCACUUUGUGAGAGAAAAUAAUAAUAAUAAUUAUUAUAUGUUGAAUUUGUGUAAUGCUUUUUUCCCCACCAAAUAUAGGCAGGCUCAAAGUGCAUACUAAAAAGAAAAAUGCAAAAUACUUUUCAAAAUAAAGAAAUACAUUUAGGUCAUGAAGUUUGUCGUAACAAAUAAUCUACUUUAUAUCAUUCUCACUUUUGUAGUACAGAAAAUAAAAGUGUUGCAUCAUAACAUCUGUAAGUCAAAUAACCCGUUGUUUGCUUUCACUAAAAUAUACACAUAGCUCAAAUUUUAAAUAUAUAAUCAUAAAACAAAUGUUUAUUUUAUGCAUGGUAAAAUGGUACAAGAAGAGUAUUGUACAUAGAAUUGUGUUCUCUAUAUAUCGCAAAAAGGGGCAAGUCCUGAGUGGCUAAGGUUAGCCUUUUAUUUAUAAUGAGAUUAAGACCAAAUAAACCUUCAUCAUUAAAACAAGCUGAUCGGAACCCCUUCUAUAAACACUAAGCAACAAACAAUAUGGAGGAAUAAGUGAUACACAGCUUAAACUAGUUGUAUAACGGAAGAAGUUGCAUGAAUCUCGCACUUAUAGUAACGUAUACAUAAAAAGUAUGCUUAAAAGUUUCUCGUAUCUAAAUACUUAACACUGCAGGUUUGAUCUGAUUUUAAUAAUCUUACAAAUUUCAGAGCAGUCAGCUGCACUGACCUUUUAGUGCAAAUGUUUGGUACACUCUGAUUGGCUAAAAUUCCUCCGAUCCUAUUCAAGGUGGGGGGGAAAAGUUCCCCUAAAAGGGAUGAUUCCACGACAUUGUAAAAAUGGUUCUUCUAUGGUAAACGCAAGAAAGAUCAAUCAGUAAUCCAAAGUAGCGAUGACUAGAAAAGCCAUUAUGAUGUUACAAAAGACGAUGGAAAAGCUGAAAAGUCAUAGAUUGAAAGUUAUCGUUUUUCUGGUGGAGUACAUCUGUAGAGAUUGUGAUCCCUUACAGCAGUGGUUCUCAAAGUAUUUCGGACCACAGACCACUUUACAUAAGUAAAAAUUAUGGCGGACCGCACUUUGAGAACCACUGCCUUAAUGGUUUGUGUGUGGCGAACAGAUCAAUCAAUACUUAGGCCGAGUGUAGGUUAUAUAAUCAAGAGACUGCUAGGAUCUGUGUGGUCAUAAGAUGGAGAAACCCAGCAGUUAAAACAUGAUUGAUACUGAUGGAAAGUCAAUAGUAGUGACUGUAGUGACAACUUGAAACUCUUAUGGCAUUAGGGAGAAGAGACCGGUAGGAGACACAAAAUCAGGAUGACCUGGAUGAAAAAUAAAAAGUUACAGUUCCGCACAUUGACAAUGAAAAAAAGCACUUGCUGAUAGUGAUCAUCAAGAUAACAAACAAAUCAAGCAGAAAUACAUAAAAUGUGGAGAGCUGCCCCCUCGAACAUGUUAGGCAAAGGGACCCCACUCCCAGCAAUUACCACACCUAAAGAAGCUUUCUAGCCCUAUUUUGGCUUAUGCUGUAUCUUCAAGAGCACGAGUUAAGAUUGAAAAAAAUUACUUCAGGAUAUUUGUACAUUCUGAUAACUUCAUUCACUUCCAAGUUGCCAUUUUCUCUUUCUCGCCUACUUUAAAACAGGAGAGUUUUCUAAGGUAACUCUUCUGCUUAA